GACGAACGCUGGCGGCGUGCCUAACACAUGCAAGUCGAACGAAGCUUGACGAACGAUUCUUCGGAUGAAUUCUGAUAUGACUGAGUGGCGGACGGGUGAGUAACGCGUGAGCAACCUGCCCUUCAGAGGGGGAUAGUGUCUGGAAACGGACAGUAAUACCGCAUAAUGUACAUUGAUGGCAUCUUCGAUGUACCAAAGCUUUUGCGCUGAAGGAUGGGCUCGCGUCUGAUUAGAUAGUUGUGGGGGUAAUGGCCUACCAAGUCGACGAUCAGUAGCCGGACUGAGAGGUUUGAAACGGGCCACAUUUGGGGACUGAGACACGGCCCCAGACUUCCUACGGGAGGCAGUCAGUGGGGAAUAUUGCACAAUGGGCGCAAGCCUGAUGCAGCAA
rnacentral:rRNA from 1 species